rnacentral:rRNA from 1 species
AGCUCCAAGAGCGUAUAUUAAAGUUGUUGCGGUUAAAAAGCUCGUAGUCGGAUUUCUGUCAAAGCAGUCUGGUCCGCCCGCUGGGUGAGCAUCUGGAUCUGUUUGGGCAUCUUCGUGGAGAACGGCACUGCACUUGAUUGUGUGGUCUAGUCCUCACGACCUUUACCUUGAGGAAAUUAGAGUGUUUCAAGCAGGCUUAGCCUUGAAUACGUUAGCAUGGGAUAAUAAUGAAGGAUAUCGAUUGCAUUUGUUGGCUGCUGGGAUUGAUGUAAUGUUAAAGAGGAAUUGUUGUGGAUCUCUGUAUCUCACUGUCAGAGGUGAAAUUCUUAAAUCGCUCGGCGACACGCAGCAGCGAAAGCCAUGACCAAGGAAGUUUUCAUUGAUCAAGAACGAAAGUAGG